rnacentral:lncRNA from 1 species
UGAUGACUCCUCAUCAGGUAGGAAGCAAUCCGCUGGCUACUACCAGCACUCACAGCCUCUUUCCCCUUUGGCUUCCCACUGCACUGGACACCCCUACAGGCACAGUGACACCAGCCUAGAAUUUUAACUCGGCCAGAGUGUGCGCCUGCCCACAGCCUCUGCUCACCACCACCUAAUCAAAGCCUGUUUGGCUGACUCCUGGCGCUCUGGCGCCUACGUGACGCCAAGAAUAAAAUUGCGUCCUGCUUCCCGGCCUGCUCUGUUAACCACCCACCUAGACCACCACCGGGACCCGGAGCACACACCGCGGGGCCCCCAGCGGGAGCGCUAGCAGGCCACGGCUCCCGCGUUCCGCGUCCCCUUCCGCCGAGGAGCCUCUACUGGGAAGGACGGCCCUGCCCACCCACCCGAGCUCCCUGGCCAGAGCGCGUGGGACUGCGGACUCUGUACUCAGGGAAGGGGCCUGGGCGCACUUCCGCGCUCCGAGGUGAGGCGGGAAAAGCCCAGAGCAGCGCCCGGCCCACCCUGGAAACCAAAGCGCGGCUCCCGCCCCGAAGACCCAGAGCGCCGCAGGAGUCGGGCCUCCGCUCGCUGCUGAUUGGCUGCGCCGGGUCAGACGCCGUGGGAUUCAGCUCUUGCCACUAGUGCAACUUUUGGAAACAAGGAAUUUUCCUCUACUACCUGCACAAAUCUGAUGACUCCUCAUCAGGUAGGAAGCAAUCCGCUGGCUACUACCAGCACUCACAGCCUCUUUCCCCUUUGGCUUCCCACUGCACUGGACACCCCUACAGGCACAGUGACACCAGCCUAGAAUUUUAACUCGGCCAGAGUGUGCGCCUGCCCACAGCCUCUGCUCACCACCACCUAAUCAAAGCCUGUUUGGCUGACUCCUGGCGCUCUGGCGCCUACGUGACGCCAAGAAUAAAAUUGCGUCCUGCUUCCCGGCCUGCUCUGUUAACCACCCACCUAGACCACCACCGGGACCCGGAGCACACACCGCGGGGCCCCCAGCGGGAGCGCUAGCAGGCCACGGCUCCCGCGUUCCGCGUCCCCUUCCGCCGAGGAGCCUCUACUGGGAAGGACGGCCCUGCCCACCCACCGGAGCUCCCUGGCCAGAGCGCGUGGGACUCCGGGCUCUGUACUCAGGGCAGGGGCCUGGGCGCACUUCCGCGCUCCGAGGUGAGUCGGGAAAAGCCCAGAGCAGCGCCCGGCCCACCCUGGAAACCAAAGCGCGGCUCCCGCCCCGAAGACCCAGAGCGCCGCAGGAGUCGGGCCUCCGCUCGCUGCUGAUUGGCUGGGCCGGGUCAGACGCCGUGGGGUGAGUGAACGCGAAUAACCUCGAGGCGCUCUGGGCACCGCAGUAACCCCGGGGAGCGCUGAGGAAGCCAGACCACGCCCUGCGCUAGCGAGCCGGCCGCGCCCGGCCUGGGACACAGGCAGAGGGGCGGGGCAGGAGGGAAGAAGGGCGGGG